rnacentral:rRNA from 1 species
GACGAACGCUGGCGGCGUGCUUAACACAUGCAAGUCGAACGGAAAGGCCCUGCUUUUGUGGGGUGCUCGAGUGGCGAACGGGUGAGUAACACGUGAGUAACCUGCCCUUGACUUUGGGAUAACUUCAGGAAACUGGGGCUAAUACCGGAUCGGAGCUCCUGCUGCAUGGUGGGGGUUGGAAAGUUUCGGCGGGUGGGGAUGGACUCGCGGCUUAUCAGCUUGUUGGUGGGGUAGUGGCUUACCAAGGCUUUGACGGGUAGCCGGCCUGAGAGGGUGACCGGCCACAUUGGGACUGAGAUACGGCCCAGACUCCUACGGGAGGCAGCAGUGGGGAAUAUUGCACAAUGGGCGGAAGCCUGAUGCAGCAACGCCGCGUGCGGGAUGACGGCCUUCGGGUUGUAAACCGCUUUCGCCUGUGACGAAGCGUGAGUGACGGUAAUGGGUAAAGAAGCACCGGCUAACUACGUG